AACGAACGCUGGCGGCGUGCCUAACACAUGCAAGUCGUGCGAGAAAGUUCCUUCGGGAGCGAGUAAAGCGGCGCACGGGUGAGUAACACGUAGGUAACCUGCCCCCCAGUCUGGAACAACUAGAGGAAACUCUAGCUAAUGCCGGAUGAGACCACGAUCCCUUCGGGGGUUGCGGCCAAAGAUGGCCUCCACUUGUAAGCUAUCGCUGAGGGAUGGGCCUGCGGGCCAUUAGCUUGUUGGUGAGGUAACGGCUCACCAAGGCUGUGAUGGCUAGCUGGUCUGAGAGGAUGACCAGCCACACUGGGACUGAGACACGGCCCAGACUCCUACGGGAGGCAGCAGUGGGGAAUAUUGCGCAAUGGGCGAAAGCCUGACGCAGCGACGCCGCGUGGGUGAUGAAGGCCUUCGGGUCGUAAAGCCCUGUCGCAGGGGAAGAAUAAGCAUCGGUAUAAUACGCCGGUGCCCUGACGGUACCCUGCAAGAAAGCACCGGCUAACUCCGUG
rnacentral:rRNA from 1 species